rnacentral:misc_RNA from 2 species
AACGCACAUUGCGCCCUCUGGUAUUCCGGGGGGCAUGCCUGUUCGAGCGUCAUUACAACCUCAAGCUCAGCUUGGUAUUGGUGGAUCGCCCUUCCGGGGCGGCCCCGAAAAUCAGCGGCACAGCUGCCCGACCCUAAGCGUAGUAAUAUUUCUCGCGGAGAGGUGCUCGGGUGGUCUGCUGCCGGAUAACUAUCAUAUCAAUUGUUGACCUCGGAUCAGGUAGGGAUACCCGCUGAACUUAA